CUGGCUAAUUUUUUGUAUUUUUAGUAGAAACAGGGUUUCACUAUGCUGACCAGACUAGUAUCAAACUCCUGACCUCGUGAUCCACCCACCUUGGCCUCCUAAAGUGCUGGGAUUACAGGCCUGAGCCACCGCACCCAGUGUAUCCUUUUGGCUUCACUGGACAACCCUGGUCAAUGUAGGAGAUGACUAUACAAGGAUAUGAAUAUCACCAGCUUUCCUGACAAAAAAGCUAAGGAGUUUUCAAAUUCAAUAAGCAAGAUGGGAAGGAAGACAUGUCUCAACUAAACCUCUAUCAGGGAACUUCAGCCUAUCAUCACCAGCCUUUCUGUGGGCAGAUGAGGAAAGAGAUGUUGCCAUCUUCCAUCUCUUUGUCUUUCAUUCUUCUCUCCAAAGCCAC
rnacentral:lncRNA from 1 species